GACGAACCGUGCGAGCGUUGUUCGGAAUCACUGGGCUUAAAGGGCGCGUAGGCGGGUUCGAAAGUCUGUGGUGAAAGCCUCCAGCUUAACUGGAGAAGUGCCAUGGAUACUGCGAACCUGGAGGAGGGUAGGGGCAUCUGGAACGCUGGGUGGAGCGGUGAAAUGCGUUGAUAUCCAGCGGAACUCCGGUGGCGAAGGCGAGGUGCUGGACCCUUUCUGACGCUGAGGCGCGAAAGCCAGGGGAGCAAACGGG
rnacentral:rRNA from 1 species